AGGUAAGCUACUAAGAGCGAAUGGUGGAUGCCUUGACUGGUAAAGGCGAUGAAGGACGUACUAGACUGCGAUAAGCUACGGGGAGCUGUCAAGAAGCUUUGAUCCGUAGAUUUCCGAAUGGGGCAACCCAAUGUAUAGAGAUAUACAUUACCUAUAUAGGAGCGAACGAGGGGAAUUGAAACAUCUUAGUACCCUCAGGAAAAGAAAUCAAUAGAGAUUGCGUCAGUAGCGGCGAGCGAAAGCGUAAGAGGGCAAACCCAGUGCUUGCACUGGGGGUUGUAGGACUGCAAUGUGCAAGAGGUGAGUUUAGCAGAACAUUCUGGAAAGUAUAGCCAUAGAGGGUGAUAGUCCCGUAUGCGAAAAACAAACCUUAGCUAGCAGUAUCCUGAGUAGGGCGGGACACGAGAAAUCCUGUCUGAAGCUGGGUCGACCACGAUCCAACCCUAAAUACUAAUACCAGAUCGAUAGUGCACAAGUACCGUGAGGGAAAGGUGAAAAGAACUGAGGUGAUCAGAGUGAAAUAGAACCUGAAACCAU
rnacentral:rRNA from 1 species